rnacentral:lncRNA from 1 species
UUUGGACUCAAUCCGAUAUCGAUAGGUCCACGAAAUUUGACAAUUCAGGUUCGUAUGAAGUUCGUUCCGAAAUGGGGUGGUUGGGGUAUUGUAUAGUUCUAGAGAUUGGAUUCCACUCAAAACCCACCAACUGACUCCUCCCACAAUAUUAUGAUGUUCCCCAAAUCUCCCCCCGCAAUCCGAUAUCGAUCGGUCCCCCCAAGUUUGACAAUUCAGGUUCGUACGAAGUUCGUUCUGAAAUGGAGUGGUUGGUGUAUUGUAUAGUUCUAGGGAUUGUAUUUCACUCAAAACCCACCAAAUGACUCCUCCCACAAUAUUAUGAUGUUCCCCAAGUUUUGGACUCAAUCCGAUAUCGAUUGGGGCUUGAAAU